rnacentral:rRNA from 1 species
ACGAACGCUGGCGGCAUGCCUAACACAUGCAAGUCGAACGAGACCUUCGGGUCUAGUGGCGCACGGGUGCGUAACGCGUGGGAACCUGCCCUUAGGUUCGGAAUAACUCCCCGAAAGGGGUGCUAAUACCGGAUAAUGUCUUCGGACCAAAGAUUUAUCGCCUUUGGAUGGGCCCGCGUUGGAUUAGCUAGUUGGUAGGGUAAAAGCCUACCAAGGCGACGAUCCAUAGCUGGUCUGAGAGGAUGAUCAGCCACACUGGGACUGAGACACGGCCCAGACUCCUACGGGAGGCAGCAGUGGGGAAUAUUGGACAAUGGGCGAAAGCCUGAUCCAGCAAUGCCGCGUGAGUGAUGAAGGCCUUAGGGUUGUAACGCUCUUUUACCCGGGAUGAUAAUGACAGUACCGGGAGAAUAAGCUCCGGCUAACUCCGUG